rnacentral:rRNA from 1 species
UGGCUCAGAACGAACGCUGGCGGCAGGCUUAACACAUGCAAGUCGAGCGCCCGUAGCAAUACGGGAGCGGCAGACGGGAGAGUAACACGUGGGAACGUACCCUUCGGUUCGGAAUAACCCAGGGAAACUUGGGCUAAUACCGGAUACGUCCGUAAGGAGAAAGAUUUAUUGCCGAAGGAUCGGCCCGCGUCCGAUUAGCUAGUUGGUGGGGUAAUGGCUCACCAAGGCGACGAUCGGUAGCUGGUCUGAGAGGAUGAUCAGCCUCACUGGGACUGAGACACGACCCAGACUCCUACGGGAGGCAGCAGU